rnacentral:rRNA from 1 species
CCUANGGGAGGCUGCAGUCGAGAAUCUUCGGCAAUGGGGGAAACCCUGACCGAGCGACGCCGCGUGCGAGAUGAAGGCCUUCGGGUUGUAAAUCGCUGUCAGAGGGGAGGAAAUGCCGGGAAGUAAUAAAUAGGACCCGGUUUGACCUAUCCUCAGAGGAAGGACGGGCUAAGUUCGUGCCAGCAGCCGCGGUAAGACGAACCGUCCAAACGUUAUUCGGAAUCACUGGGCUUAAAGGGUGCGUAGGCGGCCCGGGAAGUUGGGUGUGAAAGCCCUCGGCUCAACCGAGGAAUUGCGCCCAAAACUGCCGGGCUCGAGGGAGACAUAGGUGAGCGGAACUUAGGGUGGAGCGGUGAAAUGCGUUGAGAUCCUAAGGAACACCAGUAGCGAAAGCGGCUCACUGGGUCUCUUCUGACGCUGAUGCACGAAAGCUAGGGGAGCGAAGAGGAUUAGAUACCCGGNUANUC